AUUGAACGCUGGCGGCAGGCCUAACACAUGCAAGUCGAACGGUAGCACAGAGAGCUUGCUCUUGGGUGACGAGUGGCGGACGGGUGAGUAAUGUCUGGGAAACUGCCCGAUGGAGGGGGAUAACUACUGGAAACGGUAGCUAAUACCGCAUAACGUCUUCGGACCAAAGUGGGGGACCUUCGGGCCUCACACCAUCGGAUGUGCCCAGAUGGGAUUAGCUAGUAGGUGGGGUAAUGGCUCACCUAGGCGACGAUCCCUAGCUGGUCUGAGAGGAUGACCAGCCACACUGGAACUGAGACACGGUCCAGACUCCUACGGGAGGCAGCAGUGGGGAAUAUUGCACAAUGGGCGCAAGCCUGAUGCAGCCAUGCCGCGUGUAUGAAGAAGGCCUUCGGGUUGUAAAGUACUUUCAGCGGGGAGGAAGGCGAUGUGGUUAAUAACCGCAUCGAUUGACGUUACCCGCAGAAGAAGCACCGGCUAACUCCGUGCCAGCCGCCGCCGUAA
rnacentral:rRNA from 1 species